CCCUGUAGCGCAAUAGAUAGCGCGUUGGACUUCUAAUCAGAAGGUCGUGGCUUCAUUACCAUCAGGAAGG
rnacentral:tRNA from 1 species